rnacentral:lncRNA from 1 species
AAAGCAAUGAAAUACGUGAAAGCAACCCUUCCUUUUUCUACUAAAAAUUUGAAACCUUGUUAUGCUACUGGACUGAAUCAGAUGUAAUGCAUUUGCUUCUGUUCUGACUGUUCUCUGGGAAGGCUGAAAGCAUUGUUUUAUCUCUCAGUCUGGUUCCUGCUCCUGCAAAGUUACUGUUUCCUCUCCUAACUUUGAUCUCUCUUUUCAAAACAGAAUAGCAAAUAGGGUCUUUGGGGACUGCUUUAGAGGACUUGUCAAAAUAUAUCUGUAUAAUGAGCAUUUCAUCAGGAGAUUGUUAAAAACCUCCUGUUUAAAAAAAAAAAAAAGAAAAAAAAAAAGGGCUGGUUUUAAGACAUUUAAUUUAAAAAAACCAAGCAAAAACCUGAAAACAAAACAACCCCACAACCCACCCAACCCAAAACCUUGUGAAAACGAGGUUUAGUGUAGCUCGUUACUGCUAAUUAAACCAAAAGUGUCUUAGAGCAGCGAGGUGUGACAGUUUUCUCUUUCAGUCUGUCAGACUUGAAUACGGCUUACACUAUCUAGUUGAUAGUGUCUUAGCAUAGAGAGGGAAUUAUAAAUUGCAAGUGGUGACAGUCAUCCAGUUCCUUUGCUUAGCUGUGGAAAGAGAACUUGUUAAAUCUCAGUCAUCUGUCAUGUUUAAGUAUCAAAAUAGCUGUGUCUGUUAAGCGCAUGUCUGCUGCUAACAGUUACUUCUGGUUUAGUUUUACUCCCUCAUGUAUAGCAAAUAGUAGCAGUUGUAAAUAUAAACACUAGUAAAACAUAGCAUGCAUCUUAGGAAAAGAUUAAGUUGUGUUGCUUACUCAUGUUACUCUCUAAUGCGCUACUACAAGGUGUUCUGCUGUUAGGAUUACUGUAGCGAGUGGCGUAGGAAAAACUACUGCAUUUCAGCUUUGAGUUUUAGAUUAAUAUAAAUCACAGUAAGUUUCCAAAGAAAGGAAUUCACCUCUCUCUAUUACUAUGAAAGUGCCUUGAAAGGAAAGAGGAAUGUCUGUGCUUAACUUAAAAACACUAAAGAAUAACUAAACAGACUCAGAAGUAAAAAGCCCUGGUAAAAAAACUUUAGUUAGAGCUUUCAGCUCUGAUUACACUUGUUCAUGUGUAGACAGGGCUUGGGGUAUGUGCAGUCUUUGGGCCCAAAACCAAGAUCUGUAGCCCUAGUACACUGAUGUCAGUAAGAUUAUUCUCACAUAAUGUUCAAGCCUUUAUUUUUCCUUUCAGAGCCAUCACAGGCACAUGCGCACACACAAAUCCACAUCUAUAUAUAUAUAUAUAUCUAUACACGCAGACAUAUAUGCAGUGCUGAAAGUAAUGCAACAGUGACUCACUGUCAGUGCAUCAACAAUUGAAUGUGAAACAUGGGUUAUUUUUGCAUUUCAGUCACCAACUAACAGGCGUGGAAUUAAGAGCUUUUCUCUUUAAGUAACAUAAGCUGGGCAAGUACUGAGCAGUUUGUGCUUGGAGGCUUUGGAAGAAGUAGUAACUGUUACACUUUGGCUCUACUACUUAGAAUUUAAUGUGGAAUACAUGAAAUCUUCAGCUGGGUAUUACCUGUCUGCAAACAAAUGCCUUUCUGAAGGUGUGAUUCAACAAAUGUUGCAGAGAGCUGCAUCUUCACAGCAGCUUUAGAUACUGCAUCACACUUCAUGGCCGUGUUAUGUCUGAGACAAACUAGCACUUAAUGAACUGAAUAAAGUUUUUGCUCACCCU